CCUCGGGUGGCAGCAGUGGGGAAUAUUGCACAAUGGGGGAAACCCUGAUGCAGCGACGCCGCGUGAGUGAAGAAGUAUUUCGGGACGUAAAGCUCUAUCAGCAGGGAAGAAAAUGACGGUAACUGACUAAGAAGCCCCGGCUAACUACGGGCCAGCAGCCGCGGGAAUACGUAGGGGGCAAGCGUUACUCGGAUUUACGGGGUGAAAAGGGAGCGGGGACGGCAGAGCAAGUCUGGAGGGAAAUCCCAGGGCUUAACCAUGGAACCGCUUUGGAGACUGUGCAGCUGGAGUGCGGGAGAGGUAAGCGGAAGUCCAAGUGUAGCGGUGAAAUGCGUAGAUAUUGGGAGGAACACCAGUGGCGAAGGCGGCUUACUGGGCUGUAACUGACGUUGAGGCUCGAAAGCGUGGGGAGCAAACAGGAUUAGAUACCCUAGUAGUC
rnacentral:rRNA from 1 species